rnacentral:rRNA from 1 species
UUGGAGGGCAAGUCUGGUGCCAGCAGCCGCGGUAAUCCCAGCUCCAAUAGCGUAUAUUAAAGUUGUUGCAGUUAAAAAGCUCGUAGUUGAAUUUCGGGGUUAGUAGGUUGGUCAUGCCUCUGGUAUGUACUGGUCUCACUGAUUCCUCCUUCCUGAUGAACCUUAAUGCCAUUAAUUUGGUGUUUUGGGGAAUUUGGACUGUUACUUUGAAAAAAUUAGAGUGUUUAAAGCAAGCUAACGCUUGAAUACAUUAGCAUGGAAUAAUGAAAUAGGACGUUCGAUCCUAUUUUGUUGGUUUCUAGGAUUGACGUAAUGAUUAAUAGGGAUAGUUGGGGCAUUAGUAUUCAAUUGUCAGAGGUGAAAUUCUUGGAUUUAUUGAAGACUAACUACUGCGAAAGCAUUUGCCAAGGAUGUUUUCAUUAAUCAAGAACGAAAGUUAGGGGAUCGAAGACGAUCAGAUACCGUCGUAGUCUUAACCAUAAACUAUGCCGACUAGGGAUCGGAUGAUGUUAAUUUUUUAAUGACUCAUUCGGCGCCUUACGGGAAAC